UCCCGGGGGCUCCAAAGUGCUGUUCGUGCAGGUAGUGUGAUUACCUGACCUACUGCUGAGCUAGCACUUCCCGAGCCCCAGGGA
rnacentral:pre_miRNA from 12 species